ensembl:lncRNA LETR1 lymphatic endothelial transcriptional regulator lncRNA 1
GAUGCAUCUUCAAGUUAACUAGUACCUGUCUGUUCUUCUACAUUGUACAUUAGAUAACUCACCAACUCCUCAGAAGACUGAAGCCUCAGCAGGUGUUGGCACUGUCACAUGUUAGCAUUCCUGAUCUACAUUUUGAUGAGUCCCAAAUUAGCGGAGUUUGUUGCUGUGAAGUUAGUUUUCUUAGUUAACCAUAGCAUAUCCCCAGUUUAAGAUGCAUAAACGGCAUCAUGGCUCACUUGUGAAGUGACUGUUCAAGUCUUUUCCCAUUUAUUAAAUUAGAUGAGUCUGUUACUUUCUAAUUUAUUUGAGAGAUAUUCAAAUGGCAGACUAUAUGAAAAGAUCCAAAAUAGCCUCAGUCUUAAGAAGUAAGCAGUUGCAGGAUACUCAUGUUGUGGAGACCUUAAUCAACUGAAUUGGUUAUGUUUCUAGCUAUAGGAUCACUCAGAGGGAGGGCAGUUAGGCCUUAUGGUUUGACACACUCAGAAGUUAUGUGUAGGGACACUUGAGAUCCAUGUGCACAGCCUCUCCCAUGAGUAAAUGUCAAUCAGGAAAUGUAAAAAACAUCAAACCACUAAAAUUAUUUUUUAGAUACUCCAUAGCUAAUUUUUAAAGUAUCUAAAAAAUAAGAUCCAAAUGAGCAUGAAUGAAUAUCAAGAUAAAAAUAAAUAAAAUGUUCUUAAUAAAGCUAAACAUUUUAAUUUUUUUCAAAAUUUAAUUUCACACUAUUAAAUAUUUUUUUAAAAAUAAAACUAUUUGCAGUGUUUCUAGGAAAUGUCCAUAUGGUUGCCAAUGGGGAAAAAUGGCAACCCCCUUUGUGUAGGUAGAAUUCUAUGAUGAACCCCCAAAUCCUCAUUUUCUGGUGUAUGUGCUCAUUAUAAUCUUCUCCCAAUUGAUUGGGAGUAGAAACAGUGAAUAUGAUAGAAUAUAAUUUCAGUGAUUAUGUUUCCUUAUAAAGCAAAAGAGAUUUUUCCAAAUGUAAUUAAGGUCCCUAAUCAGUUGACUGAGUUGAGUGACAGCAGAUACUCUCCUGCUCUCUUUAAAGAAGUCCCCAUGAGUCCCUACAGCCACAAUAAAUUGAAUUCUGCCAAAAAUCUUAAUAAGCUUGGAAGAAGACCUUCAGCUCCUGAUGAGAACCCAGCCAGAAACAAGAUGAGAACCCAGAAACAAGAUUUUCAUCUUAUUUCAACCUGAGCAGAGAACCCAGAGGAGCCCUGGCCAGAUUUUUGGUCUACAGGAUUGAGAAGACACCUGCCUGAGGGUCUUAUAGCUAAUGGACUGCAGAAGACUUGAGUCAUCAUUCAAAUUCAGUAGCCAUCCUCUGAUGUCCAGUUGAAGAUUGGUGAUUCCAGAAUAGCUCGCAUUGCCCCAGUUGACUUGCCACACAGCUUCUUUCAGGACUUGAAAAUGUCCUAGCCACCCCCAUCUUACCUCCUACUUCCAAUGCCUUUUAAGAUAGAAAACAAAAAACAAAACAACAAAAAAACACCAGCCACCCUUGUGGGUUAGAUAAUCCUACAUCAAGGUGAAUUCUUGAUAACCAGUUCUGUUCUUCCUUAUGUCUUGUAAACAUGCUAAUUAGAAGGAGCUUGUGUUUGAAGAUCAAGGGAGGAAGAAUUCUGAAGCCAGGGCUAGCCUUAGGGGACAUAACUCCUUCCAGUCACUUCCUGAAUUUUUUGGUACCUGGCUUUUGAGAGUCCUCCAAAGUGAGAAUUUCAUGACAUGUAACCUCUCAACACCUGCAUUUUAAAAAAUUGUCCAAAAUACCGCAGAUACCACAGAAAAGUCCAAAACUUAAGUUUUUCCCUCCACUCAGAGCAUCUUAGCAACAUACUAACCAUAAGACUCUAAGCGCUCUUACCCUCAAUGCAAUUCUCACUGAAUAUCCUGUCAGGAGAACUCUACCUCUCUUCCAUGUUAUUAAGGUUAUUGUUCUUUGCAAGGUGUACACAACACAAAUAUAUUUCUUGGUGAAUGAACUCACUCUCAAAGACUGCUGUCCUUGGGGAUAUAGCCAACAUGCCAUAUCCACAACAUAGGUCUUCUUUACAGUCCUGUUGAAACAUGUAAGAUCAGCUACUAAGUCCCUGCAUCUCAGACAGGAACUUAAUAGAGUACAUUUAAAAAAAAAAUUCAGAAGUAAUUAAAACAAAUUGCAUACAAGCCACCUGUUUAGAAAGUUCAUAAAUUUUAUGCAAUUAUUUAUCUCUUUAUUUUUUCUGAAAUCAAGAGCAGAAUGUAUCCAAGUGAAACUAAAAGAGCGAGGUCAAGGGGAAACAACACAGGGCUUGUGGAGUCAUAAAUAUGUAUUAAAGCAGCAGAGUUAAUUUUGUCCCAAGUUCCAUAUUGGCCAGGAAAAAAGAAACAAGAUCAGCAGAGUUAACAGCUCUCAACCUGAAUAUGCCUCAGAAUUUCUAGGAGGACUUAAGUAAUGAGAUUCCUGGGUUUCUACAUGGACCAACUCAAUCAAACUCUUCAGGAGACAGCUGCUGUUGUUAGACUGUGUCUCCCAAAAUUCUUGUGUUGGAAACUUAGUUCCCAAUGUAAUGAUACUGGCAGGUGUGGCCUAGUGGGGGGUGUUUAGAUCAUGAGGGCUUCAGCCUCAUGAAUGGAUUAAUGUUGAUAUCUCAGGAGUGAGUUUCCUCUUGCUCUCUGUAGCCCUCUCUCUUGCCACAUGAUGACUUCCACCAGGUUAUGACUCAACAGGAAGGCCCUCACAAGAUGUGGAACCUCAAUCUUAGACUUCUCAGCCUCCAGAAGUGAGCCAAAUAAAUUUCUGUUCAUUAUA